ensembl:snRNA U6 U6 spliceosomal RNA
GUGCUUGCUUCAGCAGUACAUAUGCCAAAGUUGGAAUGAUACAGAGAAAAUUAACAUGCCCCUGCACAAGAAUGACAUGCAAAUGUGUAAGCAUUCCAUAUUUUA